GCCUGGUAGGCUCAGUAGAUAGAGCAUGCAACUCUUGAUCUCAGGGCUGUGAGUUCAAGCCCCACAUUGGGCA
rnacentral:tRNA from 1 species